AUCGCUUCUCGGCCUUUUGGCUAAGAUCAAGUGUAGAAAUUAUUGUUAAUUUUUUUGUGGUGCUGAUGUUUU
rnacentral:snRNA from 1 species